rnacentral:rRNA from 1 species
AUGGCGCCGCAGCACUUCCUGGUCGUCGCGUUCCCGGGCCAGGGCCACAUCAACCCGGCGCGCGCUCUGGCGGAGCGCCUCGCGCGGGCCGCACCGGGCGCGCGGGUCACGCUCUCGGCCGCCGUGUCCGCGCACCGUCGCAUGUUCCCCUCGAUCGCGUCCCCCGACGACGAGGUCCACGACGGUGUUAUCUCCUACAUCCCCUACUCGGAGGGCUACGACCACGGCUUCAGCCUCUUGGCUGGCGACGGGGACGAAGUGCAGAGAUACGCGGAGGUGUUCGGCCGCGUAGGUCGCGUGACCUUCUCGGCGGUGCUGGACCGCCUCGCGGCGCGGGGCCGGCCCGUCACGUGCGUCCUGUACGCCAUGCUCAUGUGGUGGGCCGCCGAGGUCGCCCGUGAGCGCGGCGUGCCCCGGGCGCUCUACUGGAUCCGGCCGGCCACGAUGCUGGCCGUGUACUAUCACUACUUCCAUGGGUACGAGAGGCUCGUGACGGAGCACGCUGCCGAGCCGGGGUUCACGGUGUCUAUGCCGGGCCUCCCUCCGAUGGUGAUCCGUGACCUCCCGAGCUUCUUCACCAACCUUACGGACGGCAGGAUAGUCGCGACAUUCGGGGACAUCCGCAGUCUUAUCUCCUCCUCUCUUGUAACAACCGAAUCGUGA